rnacentral:rRNA from 1 species
AGUGAACGCUGGCGGUAGGCCUAACACAUGCAAGUCGAACGGCAGCACAGUAAGAGCUUGCUCUUACGGGUGGCGAGUGGCGGACGGGUGAGGAAUACAUCGGAAUCUACUUUUUCGUGGGGGAUAACGUAGGGAAACUUACGCUAAUACCGCAUACGACCUACGGUUGAAAGCAGGGGAUCUUCGGACCUUGUGCGAUUGAAUGAGCCGAUGUCGGAUUAGCUAGUUGGCGGGGUAAAGGCCCACCAAGGCGGCGAUCCGUAGCUGGUCGGAGAGGAUGAUCAGCCACACUGGAACUGAGACACGGUCCAGACUCCUACGGGAGGCAGCAGUGGGGAAUAUUGGACAAUGGGCGCAAGCCUGAUCCAGCCAUACCGCGUGGGUGAAGAAGGCCUUCGGGUUGUAAAGCCCUUUUGUUGGGAAAGAAAAGCAGCAGGUUAAUACCCCGCUGUUCUGACGGUACCGAAAGAAUAAGCACCGGCUAACUUCGUG